UACGUAGGUGGCAAGCGUUGUCCGGAUUUACUGGGCGUAAAGGGCGUGCAGGCGGUUUGUUAAGUGCAGGGUGAAAGCUCCCGGCUCAACUGGGAGAGGUCCUUGCAUACUGGCAAACUCGAGGGAGGCAGAGGAAAGUGGAAUUCCCGGUGUAGUGGUGAUAUGCGUAGAUAUCGGGAGGAACACCUGUGGCGAAGGCGGCUUUCGUGGGCCUUACCUGACGCUGAGA
rnacentral:rRNA from 1 species